GGCUCUUUGAUNUUUCAGUAUAAAGAGUCCAACCUGCCCAGUGAUUUUUUUUUAACGGCCGCAGUAUAUUAACUGUGCUAAGGUAGCAUAAUAAUUUGUUCUAUAAUUGAGGACUGGAAUGAAUGGUUUCACAAGAGCAAAGCUGUCUCUUUCACAUUUAGUUGAAUUUUACUUUCAGAUGAAGAGGUCUGAAUAAAAUUAAAAGACAAGAAGACCCUAUCGAGCUUAAAAAAAAUUCAUAGAUUAAAAUAAUAUUAAUUAAAAAAUAACUAUUAAAAAUUUUGGUUGGGGCGACUGAGGAACCUAAAAAGCUUCCUUAAAACAUAAUUACUUACAUGUAUUGAUCCAAAAAUUUUGAUUAAUGAAAAUAGUUACCGUAGGGAUACCAGCAUUAUCUUCUUUAAGAGUUCAAAUCGAAAAGAAGGUUUGUGACCUCGAUGUUGGACCAGAAUAUCCUAAAGGUGCGGAAGUCUUUAAGGGUGGGCCNGUCCNNCCAUUAAAAUUCU
rnacentral:rRNA from 1 species